rnacentral:rRNA from 1 species
UUCGCUUGUAUUACAAAAACAUGUCUUUUUGUUUAAAAUUUAAAGUCUAACCUGCCCACUGAUUUAAAUUAAAGGGCCGCGGUAUUUUGACUGUGCAAAGGUAGCAUAAUCAUUUGUCUCUUAAUUGGAGGCUGGAAUGAAUGGUUGAAUGAAAUAUUAACUGUCUCAUUUUUAAAAUUAUAAAAAUUUAGCUUUUAAGUCAAAAGGCUUAAAUAUAUUUAGAGGACGAGAAGACCCUAUAGAUCUUUAUAAUUAUUAGUAUUUUAUAAAAUAGAAUUAUAUUAAGUAAAAUAUUAUAUAUUAUUUUAUUGGGGUGAUAGGAAAAUUUAAUAAACUUUUUUUAAUACUAAACAUUUAUUUAUGAACAAUUGAUCCAUUUUUAGUGAUUAUAAGAUUAAGUUACCUUAGGGAUAACAGCGUAAUUUUUUUAGAGAGUUCAUAUCGAUAAAAAAGAUUGCGACCUCGAUGUUGAAUUAAAGGUUAUUUCUAGAUGUAGCAGUUUAGAGUUUAGGUCUGUUCGACCUUUGAAUCUUUACAUGAUCUGAGUCCAAAC